rnacentral:rRNA from 1 species
AUUGAACGCUGGCGGCAGGCUUAACACAUGCAAGUCGAGCGGGGAAAGGUAGCUUGCUACUGGACCUAGCGGCGGACGGGUGAGUAAUACUUAGGAAUCUGCCUAUUAGUGGGGGACAACAUUUCGAAAGGAAUGCUAAUACCGCAUACGUCCUACGGGAGAAAGCAGGGGAUCACUUGUGACCUUGCGCUAAUAGAUGAGCCUAAGUCAGAUUAGCUAGUUGGGGGGGUAAAGGCCUACCAAGGCGACGAGCUGUAACGGGUCUGAGAGGAUGAGCCGUCACACUGGGACUGAGACACGGCCCAGACUCCUACGGGAGGAAGCAGUGGGGAAUAUUGGACAAUGGGGGGAACCCUGAUCCAGCCAUGCCGCGUGUGUGAAGAAGGCCUUUUGGUUGUAAAGCACUUUAAGCGAGGAGGAGGCUCUUUUGGUAAAUACCCAGAAUGAGUGGACGUUACUCGCAGAAUAAGCACCGGCUAACUCUGUGCCAGCCGCCGCCGUAA